rnacentral:rRNA from 1 species
CGGUAAUACAGAGGGUGCUAGCGUUAAUCGGAUUUACUGGGCGUAAAGCGUGCGUAGGCGGCUUCUUAAGUCGGAUGUGAAAUCCCUGAGCUUAACUUAGGAAUUGCAUUCGAUACUGGGAAGCUAGAGUAUGGGAGAGGAUGGUAGAAUUCCAGGUGUAGCGGUGAAAUGCGUAGAGAUCUGGAGGAAUACCGAUGGCGAAGGCAGCCAUCUGGCCUAAUACUGACGCUGAGGUACGAAAGCAUGGGGAGCGAACAGGAUUAGAUACCCUGGUAGUCCACGCCGUAAACGAUGAGUGCUAAGUGU